rnacentral:lncRNA from 1 species
GGCCGCCCCACCACCACCUUCUCCUCUCCUUCCCUUCCCCGCCCUUUCUCCGCCUCUCCCUUUUCUCUCUCCUUCCCUGGCCAGGGCGAGGCACGAGACGGUGCGGAAGCGAGGCGAAGGAGUCCCGUGCUGCGGCUGCGGCGGCUCCUGGAGGGAAAGAGUGGCGGGAAAGGGGAGAGCAAGGCUGCGGGUUUCUGGUCCUGCUGCAAUGGCAGGAAAGGAGAAGGUCGGGGUAUCAUGGGGUUUGCAGUGCGAGCCGGUGAUAUAAGGGCUGCAGAGGCGCUUCGGUGGUGCAGAGCGGGACGCGCUACUGGUUCCGCCGACCACCAACCUCCUUUUCCAGCACCGAUGCUGCCAUGCAAACGUCCGACAGCCAUGGCAAUUGUAAAAUAAAAGGAUGCUGUUGGAGGAGGAUGCUUGCUAGCACACGGAAAGCCCCGUUUAGGCUUGCUUGGACAUCUGCUUCUCCUUCCUGAGAUCAGGUUGGAAGUGAAAUCGGUUGGGAGGUUCCACACAGCAAGCUGAAGAACUCAUGGUCCAGGCCACGUGGCAGGGACUGUCAACCCCAGAGCAAAAUUAUCCGUGGCGAUUUUUAAAAAAUGGGCACUGGAAGAUGCUCCUUCAAAAGCAACCUGUCAGGCAAUGCACUUGCCCACAAAAAGACCCAUAGCUCAUAGGUGGAGCAUGCGUCUUGCAUGCAAGUGAUUCCAGGCAAGAAGAGUGCUGCGGUUUUAGGCCAAUGGCCCAUCUAGUCCAGAAUCCUGUUCUCACAGCACCCAACCAGGUGUGUGCGGGAAACUCACAAGCAGGACCUUGAGCAUUCUCCCCUAUGUAAGAUUUCCAGCUGCUGGUAUUGAGAAGGAUCCUGCCUCAAAAAAUGGGGCUAGGGCAUAGCUAUCAUAGCUAGUAGCCAUUGAUAGGUAUGGUUGGGAGAGACUCCUGUCCCAUACCCUGGAGAGCCAUCACCAGUCAUUGUAGACCAUGGGUAGAGAAUGUUCCAGCUUACAGACCUAAUUAGGCCUGCCAGGCCAUUUCAACCAAGCCACCACAAGACAUCAGGUGUGGAGCAGGUAAAGCCUGGCUGAGCCAAUGGAGGUCUUUGCAGGAAGCAAUGGUUGGCAGAGCCCACAAAGUCCUGUAAAAAGUGCUGGGCAAGAUAGCACUUUAAAUAGGGCUUCUUAGGAUCGCUAUGGGCAAAAAAACUGACAUAAUUGUGACUUCAGGUGGGUGGCUCCGUCCAUCUGUCAAACCUGGCCUCCAAAUGCGACCAUUUGUAACUGCAACUUCUAAAUAGUCCCAAACUUGAUGUAAGCAAUUUUUGUCCCAUUGAUUUCAAUGAAGGGGAGUAUUUUAAAGUGCUUCCCCCCCCCCAAUAAUCUCUCGCCAUGACCACAACAGAACAGAGGAUAAUGGUGCAACUCAGCAUCCAGUUACAGUACAGUAAGAUGACAGGGCACACAGCAUCGAACUAUAUCCCUCUGUGACAAAGCAGCAGAAUAGAUUCUCAAAGACGCUUGGGUUUAUUAAAGCAUUUUGGAACUACUGCUGUUUUGGGGGGCAACCAGAGUAAAUAAACUUCUAGGCUGCAGUGUAGGUCAUUCCUGAAUCCAGGGCAUUUCUAUAUGGGAACUGUUAGCACAUUCCUUUCCUAAAUAGUGCCCCAGUAAAUGGUGUGUUUCUUGGGCUGUGUACACACCGUAACUUGAAAGCUCAUCAAAAGCACAAUCUUUCCCUCAAAGAAUUCUGGGCACUGUAGUUUACCCCCUACGGAGUUACAAUUGCCAGCAACAUCUAACAAACUACAGUGCCCAGAAUUCUUUGAGGUGGGGGGAAUGUGCUUCAACUGUUCUUUAAAGUUACAGUGUGUACACAGCCUUGGUCUGGGAAACGCUCUCAACAGUAAGGAGUUAAUACAGUGGUGCCCCACAAGACGAAUGCCUCGCAAGACGGAAAACCCACUAGACGAAAGGGUUUUCCGUUUUUGAGUUGCUUCGCAGGACGAAUUUCCCUAUGGGCUUGCUUCGCAAGACAAAAAUGUCUUGCGAGUCUUGAGAUUUUUUUUCGCUCCCCCCCCCCUUUUCUAAGCCGCUAAUAGCCUUUUAGCAGCUAAUCCGCUAAGCCGAUAAGCCUUUAAUAGCCGCUAAACCACUAAUAGCGCUAAUCCGCUAAUCGGGUUGCUUCGCAAGACGAAAAAACCGCUAGACGAAGACACUCGCGGAAUGGAUUAAUUUCGUCUUGCGAGGCACCACUGUACUAGCAUUGAACUUAGUAUUGUAAAAAAGGGGGAGCAGAUUAUAUAUGGAUGGUGUUUUGAAGUUUUUUUGGCCAGCUGUUCAUUCACAAUCACCAAAUGUCCUUGGGAGUCACUGUAUUAUAUAUAGAUUGCUUAAAAUAGAAAAUAUUAGGCAUUUUGCCACAUUUCAAAAAGAAACUCUUAACUGCUUAAGUAUUUAACUGUUAAACUUUGACAGAGAGGAAGCCUUUUGUACUGUGAAGAUUGCUUUAUAUAGUCCCAUGAAGUCCCAUGCUAAUACAGCUCAUAAUUGUUUUCCAUGGGGAAAUAUUGGCAGCAUGUCAAAAUAGUAUCCGGAUAUGAAAAUUCAGCAGACUCAUGCUAGUGCCAAAUAGCCAUUAGUACACUUUAUAGACAGUGUUGCCCAGCAUCUACUAAACUAGUAGAAAUAGAAGACAGACUAAGCUGGAUAUUUGGCGGCUGUAGUGCUGUCAUUUUAAAUAUAGUUUCAAAUCAAUCAGUUGUCAGUUUGUGUGUAGGGUGGAGGGGAGUUUUUAUCCAUCUUCAUAGGUAAAGGUAAAGGGACCCCUGACCAUUAGGUCCAGUCGCAGACGACUCUGGGGUUGUGGUGCUCAUCUCGCUUUACUGGCCAAGAGAGCUGGUGUACAGCUUCUGGGUCAUGAGGCCAGCAUGACUAAGCCGCUUCUGGCAAACCAGAGCAGCACAUGGAAACGCCGUUUACCUUCCCGCCAGAGCGGUACCUAUUUAUCUACUUGCACUUUGACGUGCUUUCGAACUGCUAGGUUGGCAGGAGCAGGGACCGAGCAACAGAAGCUCACCCUGUCGCGGGGAUUCGAACCGCCGACCUUCUGAUCGGCAAGCCCUAGGCUCUGUGGUUUAGACCACAGCGCCACCCGCAUCCCAUCUUCAUUGGUAAGUGAUGUUAAACUUGCAAAUAAGCAUUUAUGUGCUUGAUAAGGAGACAUGAGCUUUCAACAUUCAUUUACCUAAAGAGAUGGGAGGGAGAAAAUGUCAUUCUGGGAGGAGUAAUUUCACAAAGUAGCACAUAGUCCAAGAAUCACAGUCCCUUGUAUGAAGCAGUAUGUGGCCAAGGAGGUCUCUCUCGUUUCUUUUUUUAGGUGGGUUUUGCAAUAAACCCAAAAACGAUGUGCAGGAAUAGCAUUGCAGUAGCUCUCUGUUCCAUGGCAAUUUAGUAGUCAUUAUGUUGGACUUGGGCCUUAUGGAUUUAGGGUCAAAUCUAACAUUAGCAAUAAACUCCCUAAGUAGCCCUGGGUAAGUAUAAUGGGUUGUUAUAACUUGUAAAUGAUGAAUGAGAUGACAAAAGUAUUGAUUCACUUUAAUGCUACAAGUGCAUCUUUGCUCUCUGCAUUUGAUUAAUAUUGUUACAUGCUAAUUUAAAAAGGAUGAAACAUACAGCAUUGCAUGGAAUUGUAAUUCAGUAUCUCUUGGGAGGUUUCCAUUGGGGGUUGAAAAGGGAGAUAAACUUCUACUCUCCACAGUCUUGUCAGAGAGUACUUAGUAUAGUAGUUUUGAUAAUAAACACUUGCAGGAUUUAACAGGGCCUGCCAGCUAGUAUGGUUAGUUUUAUAGUUCAAGUGGUAGAUGUUCUUAUGUUUCAAAUCCUAGGGAAAUUGUUAUCUCUAGGCUUUAAAAGCAACAACACAAUGAUGCUAUAGAUACUGUUACACUGCACCCCAAUCUCUGAGCCCUGUGAGAUUCCAGGGGUUUGCCUAUGGCACCCCAUGGAAUUGUGGUUGAGGAAGCUUUGAACAAGGUACUUUGUAGUUCAGGCUGCAUGCGCAACAUGCAGUAAAGCACAUGGCUUCACCUAAACAAUCCUGGGAACUGUAGUAUAUCCAUCUCAGAGUUACAGUUCCCAGCACCCUUAACAACUACAGUGGUACCUCGGGUUACAGACACUUUGGGUUACAGACACUUCAGGUUACAGACUCCGCUAAUCCAAAAAUAGUACCUCGGGUUAAGAACUUUGCUUCAGGAUAAGAACAGAAAUCGUGCUCCGGCGGUGCUGCAGCGGCAACGGGAGGCCCCAUUAGCUAAAGCGGUGCUUCAGGUUAAGAACAGUUUCAGGUUAAGAAUGUAUCUCCAGAACGAAUUAAGUUCUUAACCCGAGGUACCACCGUAGUUUCCAGGAUUCAUUUUCCAACAGGCAGAAAUGUGCUUUAAAUGUAUGGUCUGUAUGCAAUGGCAUAAAAGCGAUAAUGAAAGGAAUGUGGUUUUAAUGAAUGAAUAGCGAAAUUAAAGAAGUUUUGAAAUGAAUGGAAUAACAAAACUUUGCUUCCCCUCUCCCUUGCACACCCCUCAUUACCAGCACAAUAUGAUUACUCUGGCCAGUUCUCUCCCACCCCUACUCUUCGAGUUGAUAAUAUGCAGUAAUUCUCAGCACUUGCUGCAGUGUAGUGGAUUUUGUUGCCUACAGGCCUAAUGCUCAUUGUUCUCUUGCUGGUCAGACUUGGAGCUACAGUUCAGCAGCAGCAGCAGACAGUACCAAUGAAUCUGCCAUCGCCAUGGGAAGAGGCACUGCUAAGAGUCUCUGGAGAACGGAAACAAGGAGCUGAAGUGUGCAAAAAUAGCACUCGUCAGACUUCCUGAUUUGCCGACCCAAAAGCAGCUAUAAUUUGUGCAGCAGAGGAAGAAACAGGAAGUGUGCCUGCCAAGAAAGCUAAAGAGUCUCAAGGUGAACGAGCCUUUCAGCUAAUUAUUGACAGAAGACAAGGCUGUCAAUAACAGAGGGGAAACGGAAUAUAGGAAGCUGCCGUAAACCAAGACAGACAGGGACAUUCCCAGCCCAGCCUGGAGCUGUUAGGGAUUGAAACUGAGACCAUCUGUGAUGGUGUUUCUACUGAGCCACAGUCCUUCCUCAGACUGGCUUUCAGUACCAAAAAGUAAGGUCCUCUCAAGGAAUAGCUUGACACAUCCUGCCCAGGUCUUCAGAUCUGCUACUGAAGCCCUUCCCCAAUUGCCUUCAGGAUCAGAAGAAGGCACAAGGGAGAGGGCUUCUUCAGUAGCGUUGCCCUGGUUUCCAAACUCUACAGGAAGGACAGGGUAGGACAUUCGGGAGGUGGUGUCGCUAUGUAUGUCAAAGGGGGCACUGAAUCCAGCAAGCUUAAAAAAAAUUGGGUGGACUCCUCCACAGAUUCAUGGGUGGUGAAACCAGGUCCCAAAAGGAAUUGAGUACAGAGGAUGUGUUACUGUCCCCCUGAUCAAUAUACUCAGUGAGAUCUUGAGAUGAAGAACGAAAUCAAUGAAGCAUCCAAAAGAGGAAAUGUCAUAGUAAUGCGUAACAUCAGCUACCUUCAAAUAGACUGGCUUCAUAUGUGUUCCAGUCCCAACGAACAAAUAAAAUUUCUUGAUAUCCUACAGCUUUUACUCAGCUGAUUUUUUCACAGUUAAAUAUGAGUGUGAGUCCCACUCGCCUCUUUUCAAAGUAGCUCGAUAGCAGCAAGACAGAAUGAGCUGUGCUCAGUUGACUGAGCAUUCAUCUCUGAGAGCUAUGACAAAAUUUCAAUCAUGAAAAGUCAGCUUACUUUUAGCUCUGCAAGGAAAAGAUCUGUAUAUUUUGUAAC